rnacentral:rRNA from 1 species
CCUACGUGAUGCAGCAGUAGGGAAUCUUCCACAAUGGGCGAAAGCCUGAUGGAGCAACGCCGCGUUGGUGAAGAAGGUCUUCGGAUCGUAAAACCCUGUUUUUAGAGAAGAAAGUGCGUGAGAGUAACUGUUCACGUUUCGACGGUAUCUAACCAGAAAGCCACGGCUAACUACGUGCCAGCAGCCGCGGCAAUACGUAGGUGGCAAGCGUUAUCCGGAUUUAUUGGGCGUAAAGGGAACGAAGGCGGUCUUUUAAGUCUGAUGUGAAAGCCUUCGGCUUAACCGGAGUAGUGCAUUGGAAACUGGGAGACUUGAGUGCAGAAGAGGAGAGUGGAACUCCAUGUGUAGCGGGGAAAUGCGUAGAUAUAUGGAAGAACACCAGUGGCGAAAGCGGCUCUCUGGUCUGUAACUGACGCUGAGGUUCGAAAGCGUGGGUAGCAAACAGGAUUAGAUACCCUGGUAGUC